AUUUAUUAUAAUUUAUUCAUUAUUGAUUCAUUUGUUUCUACAGAUCUAACCCCCUCAGACCCUCCUUCAACACGACUCUCUGAAGAUCUAACCCCCUCAGACCCUCCUUCAACACGGCUCUCUGAAGAUGGAGGAGAACAAUCCCAGCAGCCUUCCACGAUGGACGGCACCUCUCCUCGAGCCAGCUCCCCUUCACACUCCAGCUCCUGGCUCCCUGGCACUUCACCUGCAGGAACAGGCACUCCAGUCCCUGAGGGUCUCCACCUGAUCUCUGACAGUAUGGUCUGGCCGGAGGCUUGGCGGUACUGCAAGGAUCACUACACUGACCUAGUGAACCUCACAAGCCUGGCUGCACAGAACAGAGUGUCGGAGCUCGUCAGGAACAGCACUGCAUCGCAAUUCUGGAUCGGCCUGCACAGAAGCAUUGUGUAUGAUAACUGGUACUGGGUGGCUGGUGAGGAUAACAAGGGGCCUGUAAACUACACUAACUGGGCCCCUGGGGAGCCCAACAAUCCUUACUAUGAGCACUGUGGGGAGAUGGUGCUGAGGGAGGAUGGGGGGGCUGAGUGGAAUGAUCUGUGCUGUUAUGAAAAGCUCCCCUUUAUCUGUUUCAAAGAUUAACAACACCCCUAAAAGGGUGUACAGCAGUGGUUCUAAAUCUGUAGUUGGGACCCCUUUUAAGGUCACUUUAGUCUGAAAAAAACCUAUUUACUAAUAAAUUAUAGAAAUAUCUAAAUCUGAAUGAUAUUGUGUAAGCAAUGUGUGAGUAAUAAAGGAAAUCGAAGUCUUGUAUGUGACAGAGUUUGCAAUGCCAUGUCUGCUCUCUAUAAAGAGCUGCUGCAAUGCACUGCAGCCAUUGCGGAUGGUAGGUCUGCUUGUGAUGUGGUCGCUUGAAACCUUCCUGUGAACCCCCAGGGUUCCCAACCCCCAGUCUGAGAACCACUGUCUCCACAGAACCCAGAGCUUUACUAUAGGAGUAAUACAUCAAAAUACUAUAGAAGAUAAUGCUAUGUAGCAAUCUUUAAUGAUAUACAUUAUUCUGAUAUUUCAUUGUGCUUGUUUAAUAUCCUAUUGUGUGUGUUCUGUGUGAUUCUCUGUUGUUUCAACUAAGAGCAUUAUCUGCAGUGCUUACUAACUAUUCCAGUAAAAUGCCUCCUGAAAAGACUCCUCAAGGCUGAUUGUAAUGAAGUGAGGUGGGGAAGCAUAAUAGUGUUGCACAGUCUUCAGUGCUUCUCCUAAAUGCCUCAGUACACAGUGCAACGCUAACAUGCUUCCCCACCUCACUUCCUCACAGUCAGCCUUGAGGAGUCUUUUCAGAAGCUGCUUCACUUGUUUUUUUAUUUCAGGAUCCUCAGCUGUUUAAAAUGCAGCGUGUAGAUAAACUGCUGCAUCCUGGUACCUUUGCUGUAGGUCACUUGGUCUGAUUGAGGACGCAGCAGCAGCUUGGUUUAAAUCAUUAGUAUCUAUAACGUUGACUAUGAAAUAUCUACUUUCCAAAUUGAAGUAUAAAACCCAAGCAAAAGAAAGGGGCCAGUGAUAAUAUUGCUGGGGUUAGUAAGCUUUAAGAAAAUGGAUUUUAACCCUAGGUUAGCAGUCCUUUAAUACAGGAUACAUUGUUAAUGGAAGAAGCACAGCGGGGGGAAUGGGGUAACUUGAUAUUCUCAUUAUAACUACUUUUUAAGCUUUUUUUCUUUUAAAAAUAAAAAUGUUUUAAAUAUUUAAGUAGUUUUUAUGUAUUUAAUAAAGUGUGUCUGUAGUCAGGCCUGUGUGAUGUCAUCAGCACUAGUAUCACAAACACUCCACUUGGAAAAGAAAAGAAACUCUUUUCUGUCCCUUGUUUGCACUCCUGUGUUGCUUCCCUGAGCUGCAGCAGAGCGGUCGUUCAUACCCCCCUGCUGCUGCAGGUAGUCUCAGCAGCGUGCCUGUUUAGUGCACACUAGAGUGACACAAAGAGAGACCAGAAAGCUUCAAGGAGGGAGGAAGCUUGUGUGCCUGCAGAUUAAACUACCUGCCUCUAGGGAAUGCAAACAAACUGGACAGCCAACAGGGCCUGGUUUCUGAUGAAGCAGAUUGCAGCUCAUGCUAAUCUGAUGAGGAAUGUAGUAAAGAGACACACUGUAAUUCUAUUUUAAUAUGAUGCUACAUCUUUCAAUAUAUUGAAUAAGUCCUGCCUCACUCUUUAUAUUCUACAUUUCUGAGUGUAUCUGCCAUUAUAAAAUGAAUAAAGAGUUGAACUUCAGUUUGAA